AAAGCGCACGCAGGCGGUUUGUUAAGUCAGAUGUGAAAUCCCCGCGCUUAACGUGGGAACUGCAUUUGAAACUGGCAAGCUAGAGUCUUGUAGAGGGGGGUAGAAUUCCAGGUGUAGCGGUGAAAUGCGUAGAGAUCUGGAGGAAUACCGGUGGCGAAGGCGGCCCCCUGGACAAAGACUGACGCUCAGGUGCGAAAGCGUGGGGAGCAAACAGGAUUAGAUACCCGAGU
rnacentral:rRNA from 1 species